rnacentral:rRNA from 1 species
AGCGAACGCUGGCGGCAGGCUUAACACAUGCAAGUCGAGCGCCCCGCAAGGGGAGCGGCAGACGGGUGAGUAACGCGUGGGAACGUGCCUUUCGGUCUGGAAUAACCCAGGGAAACUUGGGCUAAUACCGGAUACGUCCGUAAGGAGAAAGAUUUAUCGCCGAAAGAUCGGCCCGCGUAAGAUUAGCUAGUUGGUGAGGUAACGGCUCACCAAGGCAAUGAUCUUUAGCUGUUCUGAGAGGAAGAUCAGC